GACUUUCUCAUGCUCUCUUCCCACAAGCCAACAGUUCCAAAGCCGUGAGAUUUCUGCUUCUGCCAACCUAGAGCUGAACGGUGCACCAUCUCAGUGACAGCUUCCUUGCAGGCUGACCUACUUUGACCAAUGACUUUCAGGAUUGUCCUCCUCCAAGCCAACUGCCACAUGUGAACGCUAGCCUGCUGGAAAGGGCACACGGAGAAUAGUGGUGUCAUGAGUGAUAGCCCCAACCAGUGACCAGUUGAGUGAUGGAAGCCACCUUCCACAGGCAAGCCAAUGAACCAAAAAUUUGAUUCUGCUCCUAGAAUUGCCAGGAACACGUCACCUCCUUAGCAGGUGCUCGGAACAUAUUUGGAAGAUGAGUCCCCUCGUAUCAGUGCACAUUCCUCAGCAAAAAGUCACAGGCUGCAAAACUUCAAAAAAANNNNNNNNNNNNNNNNNNNNNNNNNAAAAAAAAAAAAGCAGGAAAACGGUGUAUGUGCUUCAGAGAGCCACCCACUGUGCCAAGCAUGGCGACGUAAGCCGUCUCGUUUGAACCUCCUCACAACAGGAUGGGAACUGCAUAAUCUGGGCACAGUGCCCCAUGCCUGUGCCCUAGCACUCAGCGAGUUGAGGAAGGAAGACCAGAAGGUACAGGGUCAUUCUCGGCCAUAUUUGCGGUUUGCAGCCAGCCUGGGAGACCCAGACUUGGGCUAGUGAAGAACUGUGGAUAUGAACUGCAGGAUUGCUGUAAGGAACAGCUGACACCCUGAACUCUGCACGGAGAACGCUGUAGUGAGAGAACUGUCGGGGAGAGAGGAACAUGGUACCAAAGUAGGAAUGGGUGAGGCUCUGUGUGCCCACAGGACAUGUCCUUUCAUGGGUUGUGGGUCAGGUUCAGCCACAGUGUGAUUGCUCAGCUGAUGUGUGUAUGCUAAAGGGCAGGGUCCAUGCAUUAGGAGUGGCUGGGCUGGGCUGGUGUGGUGUGCUGUGUUUCCCGUGGGGAUGGCGGUGAUUCAUUACCCUUCCCAGCCCGCUCAGCUUCUAUCAGGGUUCAACUUGUAGUAAACAAGUCAGAAAAUGCCAUCUGGGUGAGAAAGAGACGGGGGGGGGGGGGGGGGCCGGGGGGAGCUUCCGAGGUGACCCUCAGUGUCCUGUCAGCCCCAAAUCUUCCUGGAAACUACACACUGGAUCCACAGAGCUCAGAAUCUCUCUCACCAAUGGCAGAAAACCCUUCUUCACCCAAUUUCCGAUCUUUUUUUUUUUUCUGGAAUGUUCUAGAAACUCUACUCUCCUGGGAUGAUUCUGAGAUAUAACCACUCCAGCUUGCGCUGGGGGUGGGAGUGGGGGUGGGUGUUCUGCUGCCCAGAGGAUAUCUGUUGGGGUGCUUCUGGGAGGUGUGCAUCAAUAAAUCAACCUGUGCAUGCUAUUAAUCAACAGUUUCCCUGAAGUCUGGCCAGCGAAAUUCAGGCUUGUUGUCUAAGUGAGUAGGUCUGACGUUCUUGGAGCAGAGAACACAGGAGACACAGUUCAGCCCGCAAGAUGAAUAAAACCACAAUCACAACAAGAGCACAACUAGAGGAACGAUUAAGUGUCAGAUUGUGAGAGUCUCCCUUGGUUCACCAGGGCUUUCAAAAGGACAGGUAAGACUAGCCAGUUUGCCCCAAAAAUAGGCCAAACGAGACUGGAAGGGCUUGAGCACUAGAAGUUCAAGGCUCUGACCCCUGGGAAGCUGAGGUUAAGAUGGUUCUAGGACUGGUUCCCUCUGAGGCUGUGAGCAAGACUGUUUAACUCCUGUCUUGCUUCUGCUGGCGACUAGCAUUUGUUUGUGUCUGCUAGUCUCUACCGUUGAAACAACCACAUCUGCACAGACCCCGUUCCAAGCAAGGUUGCAUUCUGAGGUACGGAGGUCUAGGAGUUCAAUCCAUGAAUUAUGGAUGGCGACACAUAAUUUAACCCAUAGCAUAACCAGAAGCGGGUUCCACAUAUGGAUCACGCACAGGAUCUUCUUUUGCCAGUCCACACAGAUCGCCAACGAGUCUUCCCGAAAACGACUUGCACUCCCCCGGCCCCGCCCUUCGAGGUGGUAGCCGGCCUCACCUUAUCUUACUUGCAACUCAGGUGUGACUGGCCCCACCCUGGGUGAGAGGUUACUGUGAGCAACCAACACUGGGAGAUCGUGGAGGAAUGGGGCCAAGAAGGGACCUCAGGAUAAAAAUAGCUCCAGCAGUAGGGGUAGGUGGCGUGUGACCAGAUGACCUUUGCCCUUUGAGACUUUGAAAGUCACCAGGUUGGGAUGACUCAGCUCUCCGCUCAUCACCUUGGGGAAGAGUGACCGUACAUGGGGGGGGCGGGUCACUUCUCUUUUUCUUCCUCCCCUGGCAGCUCUUCAGGAGCUUCCAGAAGCCUGAAGAGGAUCCCAUGACGACACUGAUGUAAUCCUGUGUGCCCCUGUAAAAGGGGGGUGGUGGAUCAGAACUGAACUGUCUUUCAAAGCAAGCUUUGGACUGAGCGCUCUGGACCCAUUAAUGCAAGGUCUGACUCUUCCAGACUGAGAGACUGCUGAAGGAAGAAGCAGUGACCCACGGCUGAGUACAGUGGCCAGGGUUCCAGGGUACACAUCUGUCAAUUCACCCCUCUGGAGGCAUGGGCUGCUGGAAGUGAGUUCCGUGAGAAACUGUUUGGUAUAAUCCGUGAAUGCUGAGAGAACUGUAGGCUGUCUAUAGGGAAGAGGGAGCAGGCGUUGCCCUCUCGCCUGUGAAUCACUAGUGCCUGCUGCAGAGAAGCCUGGGCCCACAGGGCACCGGGCAUGAAGGAAAGCAAGCGGUUCCGUGUUGAAGGCAAGGGUCUCUGUCCUGCAGCAGUGAACUUCCUGCCUUUGAACCCACUCACCACACUCCCUUUACGGAUCUCAGGGAAACCCCAGAGCCACGGUGCAACCCCGCCCCACCCACGCAGACCCGCUCCCUGGCCCAGGUACGCGCUUACUGGGACUUGAAGCAGCACACGUGGGCUCUGGUUCUCACCCGCCGCUCUCAUCAGGCGGGGCUUCCCCAGAACAAAGGGUGCCAUCUGCUCAAGGACAAACCCAGACUUCAUUUCUGUUGGUAUCUUCUUUCACCAUCUUUCCUUCCUUAGGCUGUAUUUUAAAUAUUCUCAGUCAUCCUAUCAGACGGAAUGUGUUUCACUAAAAUGUCAACUUUGUACAGUAAAUGGGUGACCCGUAGAGGAAAAAGCCACCUACAGGAUGCAUGAACAGAUUUGCAAAUUGUAGACCUGAUAAAGGACCAAUAUCCGGGACAUACAAAGAACUCCUACAAACCGCUGCCACCGCCAUCAACAGUGGCAGAAACCGGGGGGCGGGAGGGGGGGUGCGAUUCAGCCAAGNNNNNNNNNNNNNNNNNNNNNNNNNNNNNNNNNNNNNNNNNNNNNNNNNNNNNNNNNNNNNNNNNNNNNNNNNNNNUUUAAUCCCAGCACUUGGGAGGCAGAGGCAGGCGGAUUUCUGAGUUCAAGGCCAGCCUGGUCUACAGAGUGAGUUCCAGGAUAGCCAGGGCUGUACAGAGAAACCCUGUCUCGAAAAACAACAACAAAAUACAAAACAAAACAAAACAGAAACUACUUCCCACCUAUCAGAGCAGCUACCAUGUAAAAACCAUUACUAGUGCUAGUAGGAUGCCCUGGACACUGUUGGUGGGAAACAAACAUGACUAACUCUGUAGAAUACUCUCUUUAAAGAAAUGAAGGAAGGGAAAGGAAAGGGGAAGAGGAAAAGGAAGAAAUAGAAUUAUUGUAUGGCCCAGUAAUUCUGUUUCCAGGUAUGAACGCAAAAGAGUAUUUUAAAGGUCAUGGAGGCUGACAAGAUGGAGGAAGGGCAGGUUUAGCUGUAUCUUCUGGGUCACCUGGCAGCCAUUGGUAGCUGUGUGGAAGGUGGUGGUCAUGUACUUGGAGGGCAACAAUAUUUUUGGCACUCAUCCUUCUCGAGCUGUAUUCGCCUUGGCUGGAAAACAACCAUUCCUACUUUCCACAACCCCGCCAAAGACGAGAGAGGAAGCCUGAGACCUGGAGGGAGGGUAAAGGCACAGAAGGUCUCCUUAGGUAACAUGCCAGAAUGUUCCAGAAUACAGACUUUUGUGCUCAGACUCCACUUCAUAGCAAAGUCCCCUUAACCCCACCAUGGGCCUGCCUCCACACAGAGGUAAGUUGGAAACAUGGGUGCUUAGAAAGGCCUUAGAAGAAAACACAAAGACGCCGUCCAAAGCUGAGUGCCCAAGGCUGGGUGUCCGAGGCUGGGUGUCCAAGGCUGGGUGUCCAAGGCUGGGUGGCCAAGCCUGUGUGGCCAAGGCUGGGUGCCCAAGGCCAGGUGUCCAAGCCUGGGUGUCUAAGCCUAUGUGUUCAAGGCUGGGUUGGACAGCCUGGGUGUCCAAGGCUGGGUGUCCAAGACCAGGUGUCCAAGCCCGUGUGUCCAAGGCUGGGUGCCCAAUCACCCAGGCACUUGCCAGGCACCAUCGUAGGCGCACCGGGCCCAAGAGGAGAGGAUGUGGGUUUGAAUAAGACCCAGACUUGGCCCACGUUUGUCGAAAGUGUAACUGUGAACUCAGACAUCUAAAGAUGGAUCACAGAACAGUGACGCAGUUAGUGUAUGUGUGCCGAAAACUGAACAGAAGCAAAAACAAAGAGGACAAAACAAGAAACCCCUGAACUUAGAAGUGGCUGGAAUUCAAAUAUGCAUUUCCCCCGGAGGUGUAGGUGUGUAUGUGAAGUCUGUAUGCAAAAAGAGGCAGACACCGUUACUCUGCAGGGAGAUGCAAAUCCAAACCACAGUGAGAUGCCACCUCACAUCCAGCCUACCUCGCUAAGGGAAAGGACAGAUCCUGACAAGUGUUCAAAGAGGUGAGACAUUGGAAUUCUCACAGCUGGCAGACAUAACAAAGCAGCUCUGUUAAACAGUUACUUUUCUCAAAGUUUAAGAAAUAGGAAGUGAAAGUUACAUAUGAGCCAGGGUUCUGAAAGAAACAAUGUCUAAGACUUUAAAUUCAGAAUUCUUUGUUCUUUCUUGACAGGAAAAAAAAAAGAAAUAAAAUUGCUCAAUUUAUAC
ensembl:lincRNA Mirt1 myocardial infarction associated transcript 1